AGGUUAAUUGGCUUCUGUAAAUUGUCCCUAGUGUGUCGGGUAGCGCUGGUGUACGGGCUGAUCACUGGUCGGUGCAGACUCGUUGGCCUGAAGGGCCUGUUUCCGUUCUGUAUCUCCAAACUCCAAAGUCUAAAA